UAUGGGAGCGGGCUUGCUCGCGAUUGGAUCGCUGCGGUGUAUCAGGAUAAUCGCGCUGAUGCCAUCGCGAGCAAGCCCGCUCCCACA
rnacentral:misc_RNA from 1 species